UAUUCUACUGAGAAUACAGGCCUUUAUAUAUAUGAUCAUUAUAUGUGUGAUGAGGUCAUUAUAUGUAUGAUCUGGACACCCAGUAGAAUC
ensembl:miRNA